UAAGAGCGAAUGGUGGAUGCCUUGACUGGUAAAGGCGAUGAAGGACGUACUAGACUGCGAUAAGCUACGGGGAGCUGUCAAGAAGCUUUGAUCCGUAGAUUUCCGAAUGGGGCAACCCAAUGUAUAGAGAUAUACAUUACCUAUAUAGGAGCGAACGAGGGGAAUUGAAACAUCUUAGUACCCUCAGGAAAAGAAAUCAAUAGAGAUUGCGUCAGUAGCGGCGAGCGAAAGCGCAAGAGGGCAAACCCAGUGCUUGCACUGGGGGUUGUAGGACUGCAAUGUGCAAGAGGUAAGUUUAG
rnacentral:rRNA from 1 species